rnacentral:ncRNA from 17 species
UCCGGCGGCCAAGCUUCAGGUUCCCCGAGAGGGGAUUGAAAGGGAACGCGGUUAAAGACCGUGGCUGCCCCUGCAACUGUGAGCGGAGAGCCAUCGGCCAUCAUGCCAUUGGGGCGCGCAAGCGGCCCGAGAAGGCGGCCCGACCGGCAUCGACCCGCGAGCCAGGAGACCUGCCUGACGCCGUCGUUCUUCG